GAUGAACGCUGGCGGCGUGCUUAACACAUGCAAGUCGAACGGAAAGGCCGAAGCUUGCUUCGGUACUCGAGUGGCGAACGGGUGAGUAACACGUGGGUGAUCUGCCCUGUACUUCGGGAUAAGCUUGGGAAACUGGGUCUAAUACCGGAUAUGACGUUCUCCUGGAUGGGGUUGUGUAGAGCUUUUGCGGUAUGGGAUGGGCUCGCGGCUUAUCAGCUUGUUGGUGGGGUAGUGGCUUACCAAGGCUUUGACGGGUAGCCGGCCUGAGAGGGUGACCGGCCACAUUGGGACUGAGAUACGGCCCAGACUCCUACGGGAGGCAGCAGUGGGGAAUAUUGCACAAUGGGCGGAAGCCUGAUGCAGCAACGCCGCGUGCGGGAUGACGGCCUUCGGGUUGUAAACCGCUUUCGCCUGUGACGAAGCGUGAGUGACGGUAAUGGGUAAAGAAGCACCGGCUAACUACGUG
rnacentral:rRNA from 1 species